UACGAAGGGGGCUAGCGUUGCUCGGAAUUACUGGGCGUAAAGGGUGCGUAGGCGGCUUUGUAAGUCAGUGGUGAAAUAUGGCAGCUCAACUGUCAAGGUGCCAUUGAUACUGCAGAGCUUGAGUACAGAUGAGGUAGGCGGAAUUGACGGUGUAGCGGUGAAAUGCUUAGAUAUCGUCAAGAACACCUAUAGCGAAGGCAGCUUACUAGGCUGUAACUGACGCUGAGGCACGAAAGUGUGGGGAUCAAACAGG
rnacentral:rRNA from 1 species